UGUAAGCGUAUACCAAAGUAGUUGCAGUUAAAACGCUCGUAGUCGGAAUUUGGCAGUUCCGGAUGUGUGCACGUCGUGUGCGCACUUCGCGGGGAUUGCUUUUGUGGUCUUGCGUAGGAUGAGGCACUUUUAUUAGUGAACGUCCUCACGCAACCACUUUUUACUGUGAGAAAAUCAGAGUGCUCAAAGCAGGCAUUUGCCGUGAAUGUAUUAGCAUGGAAUAAUAGAAUAGGACUUGGUUCUAUUUUGUUGGUUUGUUGGGACUGAGUAAUGAUUAAGAGGGACAGUUGGGGGCAUUUGUAUUUCGGUGCUAGAGGUGAAAUUCUUAGAUUACCGAAAGACAAACUGCUGCGAAAGCGUCUGCCAAGGAUGUUUUCAUUGA
rnacentral:rRNA from 1 species